rnacentral:rRNA from 1 species
CCAAACUGUUGCCUCGGCGGGGUCACGCCCCGGGUGCGUCGCAGCCCCGGAACCAGGCGCCCGCCGGAGGGACCAACCAAACUCUUUCUGUAGUCCCCUCGCGGACGUUAUUUCUUACAGCUCUGAGCAAAAAUUCAAAAUGAAUCAAAACUUUCAACAACGGAUCUCUUGGUUCUGGCAUCGAUGAAGAACGCAGCGAAAUGCGAUAAGUAAUGUGAAUUGCAGAAUUCAGUGAAUCAUCGAAUCUUUGAACGCACAUUGCGCCCGCCAGUAUUCUGGCGGGCAUGCCUGUCCGAGCGUCAUUUCAACCCUCGAACCCCUCCGGGGGGUCGGCGUUGGGGAUCGGGAACCCCUAAGACGGGAUCCCGGCCCCGAAAUACAGUGGCGGUCUCGCCGCAGCCUCUCAUGCGCAGUAGUUUGCACAACUCGCACCGGGAGCGCGGCGCGUCCACGUCCGUAAAACACCCAACUUCUGAAAUGUUGACCUCGGAUCAGGUAGGAAUACCCGCUGAACUUAAGCAUAUCAAUAAGCCGGAGGAA